CUUGUGGUUUCUGAGGUCAUCACUGUGUGCCAGGUCACAUGACCGGGUUCAUCACACAUAUAAAGAUGCUGGUCUGGAGCGUGCAACGUCAGAAACACUGUCCGUCUGGAGCAUGGCGGCGGGGACAGCCGCACGCCGCGGACAGGGACGAGAUGGCGCUGCUCGCGGUGACGAGGUAAGCAAGGCUGCUGGAAGCGCCGCGUAGGCAGGGGAC